rnacentral:rRNA from 1 species
AUUGAACGCUGGCGGCAUGCUUUACACAUGCAAGUCGAACGGCAGCGCGGGCUUUGGUCUGGCGGCGAGUGGCGAACGGGUGAGUAAUACAUCGGAACGUGCCCAGUAGUGGGGGAUAGCUCGGCGAAAGCCGGAUUAAUACCGCAUACGACCUGAGGGUGAAAGCGGGGGAUCUUCGGACCUCGCGCUAUUGGAGCGGCCGAUGGCGGAUUAGCUAGUUGGUGGGGUAAAGGCCUACCAAGGCGACGAUCUGUAGCUGGUCUGAGAGGAUGACCAGCCACACUGGGACUGAGACACGGCCCAGACUCCUACGGGAGGCAGCAGUGGGGAAUAUUGGACAAUGGGCGAAAGCCUGAUCCAGCAAUGCCGCGUGUGUGAUGAAGGCCUUCGGGUUGUAAAGCACUUUUGGCGGGGACGAAAAGGACUGUGCCAAUACCACGGUUCGAUGACGGUACCCGCAGAAUAAGCACCGGCUAACUACGUG